GUGAACAAUGUGAAAUGCUUGAAGCAGGUGUUAAGGUGGGCUUCUUCCUUGAGGCUCACAAUCUUCUGAAAAUGUGUGUGGUAAAUAUGAGCAUAAACACGGAAAAGGCGCUUGAAUAUCGUCUUCACGACUUCCCGAAAAUUUUGUGGGAAGGGGUACCAAGUUUCUGAGGAAAAAUGGAUUCAUCGUCAAGCUGGACCUCAAUCCAGUCCAUCAGAUACUCGACAUAUUUCGGUGCCGAAACCUCGAUGGGUUUCUUGAUCUGAAUUCCAUCAGCCCAUCUGCAAAUAUCUUACUUAGGUCCAGCUGACAUUGUUGGACAUGUAGUAGGCGUGCAGAACUCCAUCAGAGUGCCGUAAAGGAUGUUCACCUGCUGUAUGAGGCUUACUGUUAACAGCUAGCCAUUCAUUGAGAUCCUCUCCAGGAGGCAGCCUGACCGCAUCCCUCAAAUUACCACUUCCUAAGGUUGCAUCAAUGUGCUUCUUCAGCUGCACACCCU
rnacentral:sRNA from 1 species